UGGGAAUCUGCCCUUGGGUUCGGAAUAACAGUUGGAAACGACUGCUAAUACCGGAUGAUGACGUAAGUCCAAAGAUUUAUCGCCCAAGGAUGAGCCCGCGUCGGAUUAGCUAGUUGGUGGGGUAAAGGCCUACCAAGGCGACGAUCGUUAGCUGGUCUGAGAGGAUGACCAGCCACACUGGAACUGAGACACGGUCCAGACUCCUACGGGAGGCAG
rnacentral:rRNA from 1 species